rnacentral:rRNA from 1 species
UACGGGGGGGGCAAGCGUUGUUCGGAAUUACUGGGCGUAAAGGGCUCGUAGGUGGCCAACUAAGUCAGACGUGAAAUCCCUCGGCUUAACCGGGGAACUGCGUCUGAUACUGGAUGGCUUGAGUUCGGGAGAGGGAUGCGGAAUUCCAGGUGUAGCGGUGAAAUGCGUAGAUAUCUGGAGGAACACCGGUGGCGAAGGCGGCGUUCUGGACUGUCUCUGACACUGAAGAACGAAAGCCUGGGGAGCAAACGGG